AGCCAACCUCUAGCCUCACCCGACCAGUCAAAAACACAUUUUUUCUCAAUAACCAAAACAUUCCCCUCAACCUAGUAUAGGCGAUAGAAAAGAAACCCCUCCCGGAGCGCAAUAGAGACCACGUACCGUAAGGGAAAGAUGAAAUAACAGUGAAACCCAAAGCAACAAACAGCAAAGACAAGCCCUUGUACCUUUUGCAUCAUGAUCUAGUAAGAACAACCGAGCAAAAUGAAUUUAAGCUUGCCCCCCCGAAACCCGAGCGAGCUACUUGCAAGCAGCUACACAUCUGAGCGAACCCAUCUCUGUUGCAAAAGAGUGGGACGACUUGCUAGUAGAGGUGAAAAGCCUAUCGAGCCGAGUGAUAGCUGGUUGCCUGUGAAACGAAUCUAAGUUCUCCCUUAGCCCCCUCCCCAACUGAUAUGUGACCCAACAUGAGAAGACUAAGAGUGCUUUAAAGGGGGUACAGCCCCUUUAAAACAGGACACAACCUCCACUAGAGGAUAACAACCCCACCACCAUAAACAGUAGGCCCUCAAGCAGCCACCAGUAAAGAAUGCGUCAAAGCUCAACACCCCCAAAAAUAUGACAAGUAACACGACUCCCUCCCCACUAACAGGCUAACCUAUAGAUAUAGGAGAAUCAAUGCUAGAAUGAGUAACUUGGGCCCUCCCCUCUCAAGCGCAAGCUUACAUCACCUCAUUAUUAACAGACAACCACAUAUACCAACCCCUCCCCAGCAAGAAUGAAAUAUUAACCAACCCUGUUAACCCGACCCAGGAGCGCCUGCUAGAAAGAUUAAAAUCUGUAAAAGGAACUAGGCAAACCCAAGGCCCGACUGUUUACCAAAAACAUAGCCUUCAGCACACCAAGUAUUGAAGGUGACGCCUGCCCAGUGACACCACGUUUAACGGCCGCGGUAUCCUAACCGUGCGAAGGUAGCGCAAUCAAUUGUCCCAUAAAUCGAGACCUGUAUGAAUGGCCAAACGAGGUCUUAACUGUCUCCUACAGAUAAUCAGUGAAAUUGAUCCCCCUGUACAAAAGCAGGAAUAUGCCCAUAAGACGAGAAGACCCUGUGGAACUUGAAAAUCAGCGACCACCCCCCUACAACCUCCCUUCCCUCAAGGGACCCCCUCGACACAUCGCACAUUGGCCGCCAUUUUUCGGUUGGGGCGACCUUGGAGAAAAACAAAUCCUCCAAAACAAAGACCAUCCCUCUUAACCAAGAACACCACCUCAACGUGCUAAUAGCAACCGGACCCAGUAGUACCUGAGCAAUGAACCAAGCUACCCCAGGGAUAACAGCGCAAUCCCCUCCAAGAGCCCCUAUCGACGAGGGGGUUUACGACCUCGAUGUUGGAUCAGGACAUCCUAAUGGUGCAGCCGCUAUUAAGGGUUCGUUUGUUCAACGAUUAAUAGUCCUACGUGAUCUGAGUUCAGACCGGAGCAAUCCAGGUCGGUUUCUAUCUAUGACGGACCCUUCCUAGUACGAAAGGACCGGAAGAGUGGGGCCCAUGCCGUACAGUACGCCCCCAAAAAAACAAUGAAUGCAACUUAAUUACCAGCACCCCCCAUUCACCCUAGACAAGGGCA
rnacentral:rRNA from 1 species